AACCAGCACCUCAAGUGGUCAGGAGGAUUAUUGGGCCUAAAGCAUCCGUAGCCGGUUCUGUAAGUUCCCGGUUAAAUCCACUAGCUCAACUAAUGGGCUGCCGGAAAUACUGCAGAACUAGGGAGUGGGAGAGGUAGACGGUACUCGGUAGGAAGGGGUAAAAUCCUUUGAUCUAUUGAUGACCACCUGUGGCGAAGGCGGUCUACCAGAACACGUUCGACGGUGAGGGAUGAAAGCUGGGGGAGCAAACCGG
rnacentral:rRNA from 1 species